rnacentral:rRNA from 1 species
UACGUAGGGGGCAAGCGUUAUCCGGAAUCACUGGGCGUAAAGGGUGCGUAGGCGGCCAAUAAAGUCAGGGGUGAAAGGCUACGGCUUAACCGUAGUAAGCCUUUGAAACUUAAUGGCUUGAGUGCAGGAGAGGUAAGUGGAAUUCCUAGUGUAGCGGUGAAAUGCGUAGAUAUUAGGAGGAACACCAGUGGCGAAGGCGACUUACUGGACUGUAACUGACGCUGAGGCAC